CUUUUUCACAACACGAGGGGGGCACUAAAACUUCAGAUGCGCAUAAAGGCGUUUAAAAACGAGUGAGAAAAGUGCCCUUGGGACUUUUCCAUCCUUACCCACAGACUCCAUAGCUUUAGGCGCAGGACCACAUCUGGGUUAAAGGUCGCGCAGAGGUAAUGGAAGUUAUUGGAGGUAGUCCGACAAGGGUGUCUGUGGGGUCUUUGGUUCACAGUGGGGUUACAUAGACUGUUGUUUGUUUUCUCCAGAAAUAUGUUUCCUUCCUAAAGCGGACGUGUCCUGCUUCAGAGUGCAGCUUUCACCACGCUCUUGUCACCAGUCUGUACGUUGUUUGUUUUCAAGGUUUAUGAACUCUUUCCCCUGCAGGAAAACAAAUAAUAUCUCGAUGUCAUAAGCUGCAAGGCAAGCCAAACCCGGACGACGCUGGGCGAAUUGUGCACCGCCCUAUGGGACUCCCAAUCAGAGCGGGAUGUGAUAAAGGGACUGUAGUGAAGCC
rnacentral:lncRNA from 1 species